UGGGGAAUUUUGGACAAUGGGGGCAACCCUGAUCCAGCCAUCCCGCGUGUGCGAUGAAGGCCUUCGGGUUGUAAAGCACUUUUGGCAGGGAAGAAACAGCCUGGGCUAAUAUCCCGGGCGACUGACGGUACCUGCAGAAUAAGCACCGGCUAACUACGUGCCAGCAGCCGCGGUAAUACGUAGGGUGCAAGCGUUAAUCGGAAUUACUGGGCGUAAAGCGUGCGCAGGCGGUUCGGAAAGAAAGGUGUGAAAUCCCAGGGCUUAACCUUGGAACUGCACUUUUAACUACCGGGCUAGAGUACGUCAGAGGGGGGUAGAAUUCCACGUGUAGCAGUGAAAUGUGUAGAGAUGUGGAGGAAUACCGAUGGCGAAGGCAGCCCCCUGGGAUGAUACUGACGCUCAUGCACGAAAGCGUGGGGAGCAAACA
rnacentral:rRNA from 1 species